rnacentral:rRNA from 1 species
UUAGACGGGACCCCGCACAAGCGGUGGAUCAUGUUGUUUAAUUCGAUGAUACGCGAAGAACCUUACCAGGUCUUGACAUCCCCCGCGAUGCUUUAGAGAUAAAGCGGAGGUAUUCGGGGAGACAGGUGGUGCAUGGUUGUCGUCAGCUCGUGUCGUGAGAUGUUGGGUUAAGUCCCGCAACGAGCGCAACCCCUAUUGCUAGUUACCAUCAUUAAGUUGGGGACUCUAGCGAGACUGCCAGUGAUAAACUGGAGGAAGGUGGGGAUGACGUCAAAUCAUCAUGCCCCUUAUGACCUGGGCUACAAACGUGAUACAAUGGCUGGAACAAAGGGAUGCGAAGCAGUGAUGUGGAGCGAAACCCAUAAAAACAGUCUCAGUUCGGAUUGAAGUCUGCAACUCGACUUCAUGAAGUCGGAAUCGCUAGUAAUCGCGGAUCAGAACGCCGCGGUGAAUACGUUCUCGGGGUUU